rnacentral:rRNA from 1 species
GACAGAGGGUGCAAACGUUGUUCGGAAUUACUGGGCGUAAAGCGUGUGUAGGCGGCUUUGCAAGUCGGAUGUGAAAGCCCCGGGCUCAACCCGGGAAGUGCACUCGAUACUGCAGAGCUUGAGUAUCGGAGAGGUUGGUGGAAUUCUCGGUGUAGAGGUGAAAUUCGUAGAUAUCGAGAGGAACACCGGCGGCGAAGGCGGCCAACUGGACGAAUACUGACGCUGAGACACGAAAGCGUGGGGAGCAAACAGG